UACGUAGGGUGCAAGCGUUGUCCGGAAUUAUUGGGCGUAAAGAGCUCGUAGGCGGUUUGUCGCGUCUGCUGUGAAAACUCGGGGCUUAACUCCGGGCCUGCAGUGGGUACGGGCAGACUAGAGUGCGGUAGGGGAGACUGGAAUUCCUGGUGUAGCGGUGGAAUGCGCAGAUAUCAGGAGGAACACCGAUGGCGAAGGCAGGUCACUGGGCCGCAACUGACGCUGAGGAGCGAAAGCGUGGGGAGCGAACAGG
rnacentral:rRNA from 1 species